UCUUCCUCUUCCUCUUCCUCUUCCUCUUCCUCCUCUUCCUCUUCCUCCUCCUCUUCCUCCUUCUCCUUCUUUUUCAACUUAUAAUUUGUUAGGGAUUGCCAUACUUUGUAGAACGAGAGAAAAUUGAGAUAUAUAACUUUUAUUCUGAGAAUGGGUAUGACCCUUUUGUAAGGUUGUUGGUAGAAGAGUUUGAUUUGUGUUGGGUUUUUGUUG
rnacentral:miRNA from 14 species